rnacentral:rRNA from 1 species
UACAGAGGUCUCAAGCGUUGUUCGGAUUCAUUGGGCGUAAAGGGUGCGUAGGUGGCGCCGUAAGUCAGGUGUGAAAUUUCGGAGCUUAACUCCGAAACUGCAUUUGAUACUGCGGUGCUUGAGGACUGGAGAGGAGACUGGAAUUCUCGGUGUAGCAGUGAAAUGCGUAGAUAUCGAGAGGAACACCAGUGGCGAAGGCGAGUCUCUGGACGACUCCUGACACUGAGGCACGAAAGCUAGGGGAGCAAACAGG